rnacentral:tRNA from 1 species
AUUCUUUUAGUAUAACUAGUACAGCUGACUUCCAAUUAGCUAGUUUCGACAACACUCGAAAAAGAAUA